AGGCUCUCUGCAGAGGGUGGGAUAGGCAAGGUCAGGGCAUGAGUGGUACAGACGAUGGGCCAGGGUCCACACCUGGGCAGGCUGUUGGGAAACGUGUGUAUGAAGACAUUUGUACUUUUUCACUCAUCCCUUCAUCUCCCUGCCCAUGAACCCAUCCAGCUGUUCCACAAACACCAAGCACCUCUUCUGGGCCAGACUGCUAGAUUUACAACUAAGUCCUGAGCAUUUAUUUCAUAGUGACUCACAGAGACCCCAUCCUUUCCUUCAAGGAGCUCAAACACCAAAUGAGACAGGGCAGAGUAGUAGACUGUGGGCUAAAUCCUGUCCCCAAAUUUUGAAUGUGCCACCUACACUUAAAAACCAAGUUAAAUGUCACUGUUAAAAACCCCAGGAGAUCAACUAAAUAUUGGGAUUUCUGGCUUCGCUGAAAACCAGGAAGUUUCUGGUUUGGCCCAAUCCCCACUGGCAUAGAGUUUAGAUACUAAUUCUCUAAUCCCCGAAGUGAAUGUGUUGGUAAUGAUGAACCGAGGUGGGGGCCACACAGGAACAGAACAGGACCAGGAGCCCAAAGCAGCCCAGGGAGGUGUCUCUGGACUAUGCCACUGGAGUGGAGAUCUGAAUGAGGAAAGGAGAUAAUGAACCCCGAUAGCUGCUCAAAUCUUCAACUUGCUGCCAUACUAUCUGUGUCACUUUGGGAGGAAGGCUCGAGCAAAGCAUGGAGGAGGAGAAUGAAGAGCUUCGAGCCUGGAUCCCUGGCCCAACAACCUGAAGCAACAUACUUGUCAUCCCUGAGCCGGUCUCCUUAUCUGGAAAAUGGUGACACAGUUUCCUGUUCUUCCAACUGGUUCACAGCUUAUGAACCUCAGAAGAGACUGAAUGAGAAAGGGCUUUAUACAUUUUAAUGAAUUUUGUAGGUUACUUGCCCAGCAUGGAGCCCAACACGAGGACUGAACUCAUGACCCUGAUCAAGCCCUGAGCUGAGAUCGAGAGUCAGAUGCUAAACCGACUGAGUUUCCCAGGGGAGCAACCUAUGGUCUCUGACAAUCCACAGCAUCAUGGACUGAGAAACUCUGGUGAAACCAGCAACACACCACCUGGGGCUGAGGGCCCAUCCACACCCUGGUUUCAGGGACCAGCAUGUAAGGGUGAAAUGAAAGCAUCUCACCCCCCUGUGACAUCCAAGAGUGAGUCUGUGAUGAGCGGGCCAGAACGGUGUCUGCUGUGCUCACUGCAGCAUCCCGGUACGCUGGCUGGCAGUAGGAGAUGCUCAGGAAACACCAUCUGUGUGAUGCGAGCCCCGGAAGUCCCCAGGGAGCGCUGCAUGUGGCACUGUGGGGCCGAGGGGUACCCGCGUGGGAGCCACUCUAGGUGCACCAUGUCCCUAGCAACCUGGUGCUGCAGCUCAGAAGACGUGGAUUCAAACGGCUUCACCUCACAAAUACAGAUGUGGCUGUGAGGGAAAGCUCUUUGUGCAAAGCCCUUCAUGAAGACUGAACUCCAAAGUUGCCUGUAGCCUGCAGCCCAGGCCCCAGAGGGACGCUUUCAGAAGACUGCACUCCUGCCCUGCCAGCCUCAGAACUCUCAGAGCCUCUCCAGCGGGUCCCUGCCUCUCUAGCAACCUUGGUGUUGAUCUGCAUUUAAAUGCUCCGUUUUAGCCGGAGCAUGAGCACAGGAAGACCUGUGAAGAGCGAAUGGAUGCUCUUCAUUUCUGUUAGGAGUUUUGCGGCGCUGACAAGUGCUGUACAAAGAACUCUCAGACCUGCUGAUUGGUGAAGAAGGGCAGCCACCUUCCAGGAGCCCCCACUCAUGGCCAGGGCUUCCGCCAGGGGCCUGGGAUGAUGUGGUUCUAGCUCAGCAGUCAGCAGCCCAGGUUCAUACCCUGGCUCCACUAGCUGAUAGCUGUGUGACCUUGGCAACUUAACCUCUCUGAGCUUGCAUUUCACCUCUAAAAGGGGGCUUAUCAUGAUCAUCUCCUUGAAGUGAUUAAAUGAGUCUCCAUGGAAAGCUCUUGGAGCAGUUCUUGGUACAGCAGUCUUCAGUGUGUUUUGAACAUGAAUGUGUGUGCAUGUGUGCGUGCACACACACACACACAGACACACACACCCCCUCCACCCAAUAAUACAUAUGAAUAUCGGAAAACCCAUAGUGAUCUCCUUGUUGUCUAUUCUCUAUUCUCCUUCCAGAGUAAUAUUUCUAAAAUGAGAACCGCAUCAUGUCACUUUCCUGCUUAAAAUUCUUCCUUGGCUCCCGCAUUUCUCCUGGGAUAAGGAGUCAGCCCUCACCACAGCCUACAAGAACUACAGAUCCCUUCUCGAGUUUUCAGUACACACCAGUCUCUUUUCCAGUCUAUUUGCUGUGUCACGUGGUCUUCUUGGUCUCUUGACUUUAAGAUCUUUCCAUCUUUGGGUUAGCAUAAAACAUUUUCUUUCUUUCUACUGCUUUCCACAUCCUGCCCGCACCCCCUUUUCCUGGGGAAACCCUAUUCUCCGUCCUAUCUGAGAUGCCUAAUUUCCUGACUAGCCUUCUUACUGUCUUUCUCCCCCAUUCUAACUUUCUGACAUCAGGGGUCUUAUCUGUCACACUGCUGCUGCCUCCCAGCUCCUGUGACAUUACCUGGCAUGAUAAACUCGGUGAACACCUGACUGAGUGAUGAGGGCUUCUCUCAGCUUGUGGCCUGUGCCUCGGUCUCCCUCAGUCCCUCCCACAGAUGGCCAUGACUGCCCGAUAGCCUAGAAGUGUCCUCUACUGAAGCCAUCUGCUGAGGGCUUCUCUGGGCCAAGGCUUGCGCCAGGACUCUGAAGUGCUGCUGUGCCCAGAGCCAGCUGCCCUCCAGCUGGCUGCAGGCAAUUUCUAUCCCUCUCCCCAGGCCAGAGAAAGGCAAGAAUAUAGUCAGUGCUGGGCGGUUGCCCUCUAAAGUGCUCUGGGGAGCCUGCCCAGCGGGGGUGGGGGGGAGGUGGCAAGUAUGCAAAGAAAGCAGCAGCUGGCAUUGCUAGAGAAGGUGCAGCUGUCAGGAUGGAACCAGCCAGAACCACAGACAGGUACCUAUAGCAUCUUGGCAGGGGUGCUGGGUUUGCUUUCUCCCUGCUUAAAAUGCAGGUGGCAGGUUCCAAAGAGACACAUGACUGUCUACUGCAAAUCACCAACGAGCCAGGCCACCGGGCAGAGCACACAGGGACCCAGACCUCUGCCAAAGGAAGGGAGUAACUGAGUGGCUAAGGGAUGGGCCCUGGGGUCAGAUGGGCCUGGGCUCGAGGCAAUGCUCUGCUGCUUCUUGGCACUGUGAUCUUAAGAAAUCAUUCAACCUUCUCAAGCCUCAGUUAUCUCAUCUGCAAAAUGGGAGUAACAAUACCUGCCUUGUAGGAUUAAAUGAGGUCACAUAUGAAAAACAACCACAGCAUCUGGCACAGUAAAUGCUCUAUGAGUGCUGGCUGUGGUGGGUCACACCCGGAUAGGAUAUCUUCCCUUGCUUUCCUAAAGCCAGGGUUGGGGGGGGCGGUGCGCAGAACUGCCUGGACUCCUCCCUAUCCCAGAGCACAUGCUGUCCAUGCCACUCCUCCGCUUGUUGCUUACUGCAUUGCCCUGCUCCUUCUCUGGCAUGGCCCUCUGUCGCCCAAAAUUUGAGCUGUUUGCUGUACCCCAGGCCACCAUCUUCUGACCCCCACCCCAAGCCCAACCAGUGCCAGGCUAGGUCCUACCCUCUCCCCCAAGCAGUGCAUUCUUCUCAUCACCUCCUGCGAAAGAAAUCAGUCUCAGAGAGCUGUGUCUCAGCCUGUGUCCUGGUGGUUAAGUCCCAAACACUUUUAAGCCUCCCAUCAAUGCCAUGUAUGUGUGCACACCGUCAGCAUGCUUCCCAAGAUGUGCUCAGACUCCACAGCCCAGUAGAAAUCCCCUCUUCCAACAGUGGUGCCUGGGGGAGAUAUGGCAUCCUUCUCUUCUCCUCUCCUUGGGAUGUUUGUGGUGGGACAACAAAUCUAUGCUCACAGUCCUCACACCAAGGUCAGUUCUCAAAUUUCCUGGAUAUUAACCAGGAGUGGACUGUAGGGGAUGGGGGUGGGUAUUGUUUGCUGGCACUAGAUUCUCAUUCUCCUCUCCGCUGCUCAGGAAGAUGUGGACUUACAGGGUUUGUUUCCAGAAUCAGGAAGGUCUGGUGUUAAUAAACACUGCCUUAAAUGCAAGCAAAUAGAUUUUUAGGUUUAAGUACUUCCGGAAUGGCAAGCGUGAGUCUACAAGGCUCAUGGCAGAGCAAUAACAGAACUCUUCUGAAGCUGACGAGGCCCAACCUGUGCAGAUUGUAUUUGUGUCAAGUACCUUGGGCGCUGAGAUGUCUACUUCUGCUCUGCUUUCAGCAAGCUUUUGUAGGCUUGCUUCUAAAUCAGGACUUUAGUGCUGACUUCUAGCGGGUGUCUCUGUAUCGUUUGCUUGCUAGUGUGUAAUUAAACCUGAGUGGUUCUUAAAGUGUUGUCCAUGGGCCACUGGGGCUCCUCUAGGUUUUUUCAGGGCUCUGUGAGACUGAAACUACUUUUCUGAAAAAAUUAAAACAUUGUUUUCCAUUUGCACUGUGUGGGGAAAAUUGCUGGCACCUCACUAUGAAUCAAGGCUGUGGCACCACAUGGUAUCAGUGGUCACUAUAUUCUUCCCUCCUUAAGUACAUGUAGGGGGAAAAAAGCCAGUUUCACUUGAGAAUGCCCUCCAGGAAGCAGUGAAAAGUUAUUAACUGCAUUAAGUAUCAACCCUUGAACACAUCUUUUUAAUAUUCAGCGUGGAAAAAUGGGAAGCAUGCAUAAAGCAUUUCUGCUUUGGUGGUUUGGAGAAAAAGCUCCAGCAUCACUGAGUUACAAGCUAAACUAGCUGUUUUUUUAAAAUUUUCUCCCAUAAAACACCAUUUUUACUUAAAAGAAUGACUAGCGGGAUCCCUGGGUGGCUCAGCGGUUAAGUGCCUGCCUUCAGCCCAGGGCAUGAUCCUAGAGACCCAGGAUCAAAUCCCACGUCGGGCUCACUGCAUGGAGCCUGCUUCUCCCUCUGCCUAUGUCUCUGCCUCUAUCUCUCUUUCUCUCUCAUGAAUAAAUAAAUAAAAUCUUUAAAAAAAAAAAAAAAGAAUGACUAGCAAAAGGUUAUUCCGGGAUAGGUAUUGGUAGACAUUUUCUCACAAAUACAGUGAGCCUGUCACUUUCCAUGGAAAUCUACUAAUAGUACUUACUGGAUAAAAUUCAAGCUUGCUACCAAGUGAAAAUUAAAAUUUUAGAAAACUCUUAACUGCUACAUUGAGCAGUUUCCCUUUCCUGAGAGACUUUUCUGAUGAGAUCCUGGUGAUGUUACUGGUUAUGACAUUUUUGAUACCAUGUCAUGUAGGGUGCCAAUGUCCAGACGAUCUAUAUAACCCAGCGAACCAAUAUUUUCCAAAUGACCAGUGCACACUGUUACAAGAUCAUUCAUGGAAGAAAGUUCCAUUCAAAGCACAAGAUAGACCAGUGGGUUGUAACAGAAUAGAAAGUCCAUGGAUACAGUUUUGGGUCCCAUGCAACAACUAGCCUUUACGAAACUACCACUUCAUGGUUAUGGUAUAUUAUCGAAGAAGAAUAUCCACAAUUAUGUGGAAGGGCUAUUAAAAUUCUCCUCUCUUUUCCAACGAUUUGUCUAUGUGAAGCCAGAUUUCCUUCUUGUACUUGACCCAAAACGUAUCGCAACAGAGGGAAUGCAGAAGUGGAUAUGAAAAUCUGGUUCCCUUCUACUAUAUUUGUAAAAAUGUCACUCUUCUUAAUUAAAUUUCUUUUGGUUUGUUUUUCAUAGAAGUAUGCUUUUUAUAUGAACAUGUAA